CCAUCAAGUACCAGUCCCCACCAUGGUCGCGUUGUCCCCACUUUCCGGCCGAGAGAAAAAUUAUACGAUUCCUGAAUGGUGCAUAUAAUAGCACUGUGUACUGUAAUAUCAGAAUAUUAUGUUUUACACAUUUAAAAUUAUGUAAAUCUAAGUACGAGCUUGGGAUAUUAAUACAGUGCCAUGUAACAUAAGGAAGAUGCACAAAAAUGAUAUUCAUCGAAUGUGAAGACUGAAAAUUUUAGGUAUUGCACUUUGGGAGGACCAGAAAUCAACUCACCAAACAGUAUUGAUAAUCUUGCUUUUUGUACAAUUGAACAAAACUUGGUGAAGUUCAGUAUGAAAGCAAAAUAAGUAAUUUUCAUACGAGAGUGAACAUGAGAGUAAAACCUCUUUUUAUAAUAUUCUGUAUUAGUACAGUA